GAAAUUCAUCUCAUUAAAACCCAAAACAAACCCUAAAAAUACAUAUUCUCUGAGUUCUCAAGGUCUAGGAAGAUAUUCAAGAUCAAUUGGUGCGGAUAAGGGAAAGAAAAGUGCCGGUGCGAAUUAGGCAAAACGGUGAACCCGUGGUGUGUGUUUUGGAAGCGAUUUUGUUAGCAAGGCAAUCUACAGUACAGUUGACAAGAGAGGGAGUUGGGCUUAGAGUUUGGGCUUGAGACAUAGAGGUUGGCCACAUCUCCGAGUUUUGAGAUGUCUCGAUGUUUUUGUUUAGAAUAAACUUAUUUGUACUUAAAUAUAUAUUUUGAAUCAUAUGUAUAAAAGUUUGUGAUAAUACUUAAUUUUCA